CUUUAAGCUCGAAACGAACCCCUGAAUCCCCAGCCGGGUGGACGGCUCCUGUUGCGCCCAGCCCCUCCAAAAACUCUAGGGGAAAACACCCUCUUCAUAUUGGCUUGGGCCUUGUCAAUGGCGGUGAAUGUCUUCACAUAAGAUCCCAAGUCUUUGACAAAGUUGUCGCCAAACAACAUUCCCUCAGCCGAGGGACCUGGUUGGGAUAUGGCCAUGCUAGCCAAUUUUGGGUCAAUUUUGAGCAGGAUAGCUUUCCUGCGCUCGGCGGACACGGCCAUAUUGGCAUUGCCAAGCAGACAAAUGGCACCAAAUGGUACCCAGCCAAUCGCUACAUCCAGGUCAAGUUCUGACUUGCCCGAUCUGGCGGACUCUAACAGCUCAUAGGCCUUUGACAGUGGACCAAGAGUGUCCAUUAUUUUGUCCUGGCAACUCCUCAGGGAAAAGUCUAGGCCUUUUUUAUGGUUUCCAGCCCGAUUUAUUGAGAAACUGUGCGAUCUGUGGAUCGACUUUGGGUGUCUUGCAUGCAGAUCCUGGCACUGAGGGUCUAGGGCAUUCUGCCCGCAGUUUACUGCGACCCUCCUUAGAAAGUGGCCUGCGCAAUAUAACGGGCAAUAUGCUCGGGUGGUUCCCACUCACCUGAGCGGGGAUGACGCAGGUCAUCCGGAUCAAACAGCGC